rnacentral:rRNA from 1 species
CCUACGAGAGUCAGCAGUGAGGAAUAUUGGUCAAUGGGCGGGAGACUGAACCAGCCAAGCCGCGUGAGGGAAGAAGGUACAGCGUAUCGUAAACCUCUUUUGUCAGGGAACAAAGGCGGGGACUAGUCCCCGGAUGAGGGUACCUGAAGAAAAAGCAUCGGCUAACUCCGUGCAAGCAGCCGCGGGAAUACGGAGGAUGCGAGCGUUAUCCGGAUUUACUGGGUGGAAAGGGGGCGCAGACGGCAGCGCAAGCCAGGAGUGAAAGCCCGGGGCCCAACCCCGGGACUGCUCUUGGAACUGCGCGGCUGGAGUGCAGGAGGGGCAGGCGGAAUUCCUGGUGUAGCGGUGAAAUGCGUAGAUAUCAGGAGGAACACCGGUGGCGAAGGCGGCCUGCUGGACUGCGACUGACGUUGAGGCCCGAAAGCGUGGGGAGCAAACAGGAGUAGAUACCCCAGUAGUC